UGUUUUUGGAGCUGGAAGGCUGGGUGGCAGCGGGAUCUGUAGCCUUCAGCUAGACUAACCAGCAACUGUAUUCCUGCUUCCUCCUAGUUUGGAAACGUUGCUUUUAGUCAUUGUAUAUAAUGAUGUCAUUAUGGUGUCUUCUUCUGAAGCACAGUCACUUAAGGGUCCCAAUCUUUCACAACUGUGAAAUAACCCUACUCAUCUAAAGCAUGGUAAACUCUUCACUGAAGUAGGAUGGACCUGGAAGUCACCAGCUGACUGAAAUGGAGCGAACAGGCCACUAUAAUGUACAAAGAUCACAUCCACCCUCUCCAGAGCAUGGCAAACAACAAAUACCUAAGGAGAAAAGGAUCCCAAGACAAAAGGGAAGCAAGGACUGAAAAUCAAUACAAUUAGAAGAGAAUUACAUGACCAUAAACAGUUACUUGCUAAACAUAUAAAUAUUAAAAAACAAGGAUAAAAUAUUAUAAUAUAUUCCAUCAGCUGUUACAAAUGUCUAACUGCAAACCCAGGCCAGCCACUGCACCCUACAAAAGGAUAAAGUCAGGGGGCCGAAAGCUGGCAGAAGUCAGGGCACAAACUGACAUUUUCUCAACAGUCCAGAGCAAAUGCCUGAAAUGACCACAAGAUCAAAGUGCUGGGGACAUGCUCAACUUCUCAUUUGCUGAUAACCGCUGGCCAGAGCCACAGCCAUGCUGUGGGCAGCAUCCUUGUGGCUGUGGUCCCAGCUGGGCAGAGACUUGUGAAGGCUGGGGAUGAGGGCUGGAAUAAGCACUGGGGGACAGAGUAUGCCUUCAGGCAGGAUAGAGAGAUCCUUCUAGAAUAAGCACUGGGGGACAGAGUAUGCCUUCAGGCAGGAUAGAGGGAUCCUUCUAGAAUAAGCACUGGGGGACAGAGUAUGCCUUCAGGCAGGAUAGAGCGCUCCUUCUGCUCUAGGAUAUGAAAUCACAGACAGCCUCUCCAUAGAGGAACGUAAUAUCUGAGAGAGGAUCUGGCACCGUGUUGAGGAAAGGAAAGAAGGCUGUCAGGGCAAGCACCCCUCCAGGAAGUGAAGAGGAUUCGGCCAAGUGGUGGUAAUGGAAUAACACUGAGUAAUAGAUUCAAGACGUAUUUUCAGACAGAAAACUGAGUACAGAGUGUGAAGGGGAGGGAGGCCUGGAGGUCUGUGAGCCUCAGAAGCCACCUAUGGAGAUGUGCUACUUAGAUGGGAGGGUGGGGUCCACACUCAUCAUAGGCCUCAAGUCAGGACAUACUUAUUACUGAUAACGUUUUUCUCUGACAUAGGGUCUUAUACAUCCCAGGCUGGUCUGAAACUCCAUGGAGCUGAGGAGGACCUUUGGGUCCUCUGCCUUCACCUUCCGAGCCAGGGCUGGGAUUACAGGUGUGGGCCACCACAGCUGGCUUAUGCAGUGCUAGAGAGCCAACCCAGGUCUCCACAUAUGCUAGGCAAGCACUCGGCCAGCUGAGCAGUGUUCAGUUUCCCUAUGUGGUUCCACUAAGUUAUUCUUUUUAGUUUGUGUUCCGUGUCUGUGUUUACUUUAAGGACAUAGCUCACACAGAAUAUAAACAGUGAGAACAGACGAGACAGUUCUGAGGAGACAGAAACGGGAUUGUCCUUAGUGUAGGACAUGACACACUACACUGUGUCACGAAGACUCAGCAGAGGGCAGAGCUUCCAGCAAGGGAGUCCAGGGCUGGAGCCUGAUGCACAGUGAAAAAAGAUAUCAAUUCUCCACAUGGCAUUCAGAGAGGUUGCCAGCAAUUUCAACAAGAAAACACUGAAAACCAGGUUCUUUACUUCACUCCCAAGAGGAACUAAAUUCUACCUGGAGCAAAAGAUAAAAAAACCACGAGGAAAAGGCUGGGUGGUGGUGGUGUACACCUUUAACCCCAGCACUUGGAGGGAGGGGGGGGGCAGAGGCAGGCGGAUCUCUGUGAGUUCAAGGCCAGUCUGAUCUACAAGAGCUAGUUCUAGGAUAGCCUCCAAAGCCACAGAGAAACCCUGUCUUGAAAAAACAAAACCAAACUAAAACAAAUAAAAAACAAAAACAAAAAUAAAAACCUAGGAAAAUAAUGAUUAUGUUUAUAACUUUUGGAAUGCAAAGAAGCUUUCAAGGAUGACAUCAAAGGCAGAAGACAAAGGAAAAGGAACCGGAGCUAAAAAAAAAAAAAAAAAAAAAAAAAAAAAAAAAAAAAAACAGGUGGUACCUCACUAAGAACAGUAGCAAGGUUAAUAAAGCGGUGGGAAAUGAAAGGUGAGCUAAGACAAUGUAGGAACAGUAGCAACAGUGAGGAGAAAAACCAGGUCUUACUGAUAUUAGCCACAGGGUUCUGCUUUUGCAAACUUCCUAACAUAUGAACACAGUCCUUCAGCCCACCGUUACAGGGAGUCCCAUCAGGCAAAGGCACAGCUCACCUAUCAACGGAGACGCUUUAGAUAAAGGAUGGUCUACUGAUGCAACAGAAUGGCAGGCACUAACAAAGAGAACAGACACAGCAGAGAUCCAAACUACACUAGUGAAAAACACUGUUUAAAGGACAAAGCUUUCUUCCUGUGAGCCCAUCUGAAGGCACCAUGGAAAGACAUCAGUUUUUAACUGUUUCCAUUUCUGGCAAAAGGGGUUCCUGAUGGCUUGGACUUUAUUAUUUAUUUAUGUUGAGACAGGGCUUCCCUGUGUAGCUUUGGAACCUGUCCUGGAACUCACUCUGUUGACCUGGCUGGCCUCAAACUCAUGGAGUUUCACCUGUCUCUGCCCCACAAGUUUCACCUGUCUCUGCCCCACAAGUGCUUGGAUUAAAGGCAUGUGCCACCACUGCCCAGCUUGCUUGGACUGUUAAGCAAUUUAAAAAAAUAUCACCUACAAUAUUAUAACUGAAAUUAUUCACUUUACCAAAAUAAUUCGUUUCAGAAAUGCAAAUACCCUGUUCCAUCAAUCUGACAUAUACUUGUAGGGGUUUCCUGCAUUUGGCUAAUCGUGUUUAUCACCUGUUCCUUGGUUUUAACACCAACACUGCUAUCAAGAGCAAAGACGAAGAUGUGUUUAAGAGAGGACAAAUUAUUUCAGAUUCACAGCUCUGAUUUUCAUACAUGUAUGUUGUUAAUUUAUAGUUAUUCUGAUGAAGACUAUAAUUUAAAUUAAAAUGAAAAUUGAUGAAUAGAUAAUUGUUGCGGGAGGUCUUUCCGCCCCUCCAACCAAUAGCUGCUGUGAUACCAGCCCAUUGGGGCGUGGUCUCUCUUCCUUUAAAAAAGCGGCUAUUUCCUCUGCUCGCUCUCUUCACUUCCUGCUCCGCCGGAGACUAGACUCCCUUCCUGGUUGUGCAGAUGGCUGUUGUCUGAGACGGUGAUCUUGAACCUGAGCAGAAGCACCAGGGAGAACGUGAGCAGAUGGCUCGCUGCUUCUUUCGGAAAUUCACGGAUGGGAUUCAGGUGUGUGCUACCGUGCUGGGUAUACUCAGUGCUGCAGAACCAACCCAAGCUUCAUGAACGCCAUUCAAGCACUGAAUCCACCGAAAUAUGAGCUGUAUUCAAAUCUAGCACAAGCUUCUUCUUGCUUCUCAACAUUUUCCUGUAAGUAUGCUACUUAAUCUUUGUGGAUUUUAAUUCAUAGUAUUAAAUUAUUUUAAAUUUACUUAUUUUAUGUGCGUAAGUAUUUGCCUGCAUGUAUGCAUGGGUGUGAGCCACCAUACAGGUUCUUGGGAUCCAACCCAGGUCCUCUGCAACAACAGCAAGUGCUCCUAACCACUGAACCAUCUCUCCAGCCCUAAUCACUGUGUUUUAAUUUGUAUUUAAAAGAGGAUGAUUAUUUUCCAAGGUUUUUUGCAAAUUUGACUACUUACUUCAUCAAAUGUGGUAUAUAGAAUUGUUGACUGUAGAAAGGCGAAGAGAUAAAAGAAAAAAAUUAAAACAGUAAUAUCAUUCAAAGAAAAACAAUUCUGCCUCUCAGAAGGUGCUGCUUUUAUAACAUGAAGUAUAAAGGACACUAUCUUACAUAAUCACAAUUAAAACAAUUGUGUUUUAACAGCAAAUAAGAUGUAAGUGUGUGUGUGUGUGUGCACUGUAAGGGACUGAACCCAGGGGUUUGUACAUAUUAGGUGGAUGUGUGUGUGUGUGUGUGUGUGUGUGUGUGUACUGUAAGGGACUGAACCCAGGGGUUUGUACAUAUUAGGUGGAUGUGUGUGUGUAUGUGUGUGUGUGUGUGUGUGCACUGUAAGGGACUGAACCCAGGGGUUUGUACAUAUUAGGUGGAUGUGGGGUUCCCCUCUGUACACUGCCAAUGUUUAUUGCCAUUAGUUAAUAAAGAAGCUGUUUUCGGCCAAUGGCUUAAUAGAGUAAAACCAGACAGAAAAUCUGAACAGAGAUGUAGCAAGAGAGUAGGCUUAGUCAGGGAGACACUAUGCAGCUACUGAAGGAGACAAAUGCUCCCAGAACCUUAUUGGUAAACCACGAGCCUCGUGGCAAUACAUAAAAUAAUACGAAUGAGUUAAUUUAAGAUGUAAUAUUUAGCUAGGAAUACGCUAGAGUCAUUGGCCAAACAGUGUUUCAAUAGUUUCUGUGUGAUUAUUUUGGGUCUGGGCGGCCGGGAACAAGCAGCCUCUGUCUACAUUAGGCAAGUGCUUAGCCAA